ACCUAGGAGAUAGCUCAGUUGGUACAGCAUGAGAUUCUUAAUCUCAGGUCAUGGGUUCAAACCUCAUGUUGGGCA